ensembl:ncRNA Y116F11B.20 ncRNA
AGCCUAAGCCUAACUAAGCUCAAGACUAUGCCUAGGAUAAGUCUAACCUUAAGCUUAAAUCUAAGCCUAAUCUUAAGCCUAAGCCUAAGCCUA